rnacentral:rRNA from 1 species
GAUGAACGCUAGCUACAGGCUUAACACAUGCAAGUCGAGGGGCAGCAUGGUCUUAGCUUGCUAAGGCUGAUGGCGACCGGCGCACGGGUGAGUAACACGUAUCCAACCUGCCGUCUACUCUUGGCCAGCCUUCUGAAAGGAAGAUUAAUCCAGGAUGGGAUCAUGAGUUCACAUGUCCGCAUGAUUAAAGGUAUUUUCCGGUAGACGAUGGGGAUGCGUUCCAUUAGAUAGUAGGCGGGGUAACGGCCCACCUAGUCAACGAUGGAUAGGGGUUCUGAGAGGAAGGUCCCCCACAUUGGAACUGAGACACGGUCCAAACUCCUACGGGAGGCAGCAGUGAGGAAUAUUGGUCAAUGGGCGAUGGCCUGAACCAGCCAAGUAGCGUGAAGGAUGACUGCCCUAUGGGUUGUAAACUUCUUUUAUAAAGGAAUAAAGUCGGGUAUGCAUACCCGUUUGCAUGUACUUUAUGAAUAAGGAUCGGCUAACUCCGUGCCAGCAGCCGCGGUAAUACGGAGGAUCCGAGCGUUAUCCGGAUUUAUUGGGUUUAAAGGGAGCGUAGAUGGAUGUUUAAGUCAGUUGUGAAAGUUUGCGGCUCAACCGUAAAAUUGCAGUUGAUACUGGAUGUCUUGAGUGCAGUUGAGGCAGGCGGAAUUCGUGGUGUAGCGGUGAAAUGCUUAGAUAUCACGAAGAACUCCGAUUGCGAAGGCAGCCUGCUAAGCU